rnacentral:rRNA from 1 species
UAAUAACUUCUCGAAUCGCAUGGGCCUUGUUGGCGGCGAUGCUUCAUUCAAAUAUCUGCCCUAUCAACUUUCGAUGGUAGGAUAGUGGCCUACCAUGGUUUCAACGGGUAACGGGGAAUUAGGGUUCGAUUCCGGAGAGGGAGCCUGAGAAACGGUUACCACAUCCAAGGAAGGCAGCAGGCGCGCAAAUUACCCAAUCCCGACACGGGGAGGUAGUGACAAUAAAUAACAAUAUAGGGCUCUUUCGGGUCGUGUAUAAUUGGAAUGAGUACAAUUUAAAUCCCUUAACGAGGAACAAUUGGAGGGCAAGUCUGGUGCCAGCAGCCGGGGUAAUUCCAGCUCCAAUAGCGUAUAUUAAAGUUGUUGCAGUUAAAAAAGCUCGUAGUUUGAAACUUCAGGCGGGGACUGGGCGGGUCCCGGAUUUAACGGGAGAAGUACUUGUCUGGGCCCUUGUCUU